UUAUUGGCACAAGCGCACCGGGCACGAACUCACUGUCCUUUGGGGACAACACCAGAACAGAAGCCAGGUGUUACAUAUAGUGGAACAGAUAGCUGGCAAGCCAAAUAUAGUAAAAGCUAAUGGUAACUCAAUGGCCAGUCUAGCUCACACCAAAGCUAAUAUGUUUUGCUAUUCAGUGAGACAGAGAAGGAUUCAGCCAACAGCACUUGUGCACAUUCACAGUUCUUGUUACCUCCUUGCUCUUCCAGAACAGGCUGUCCAGUCUAGAGUCAUGACUGUUACAGAUGCUUAAGAAAAUCAGUCAAAAUGUACCAACAAACUAAGUGUCCAUUACCACAGAUGUCAGGAAAAAUGUCACAAGGUCCUAAUUAUUCCAGAAGGACUUGGAUAAAAGCAGUGAAAACCAAAUUAAAGGUGCAAACACAGUAACCUCUGUUAUCAGCAAUGUAUUUCAGUACCAGGGUUUGCUAUACCAUUUGGGUCUUGAGUGUCUUGAACUAAAAUUUGUCCUCAUUUACACCCAUACAACCUCAACAACCUCAAUGACUCUAGUGAGUUUGAACAUAUAGGUGUCACUGAGGGCAAUUUCCAUGGAUCACUGCUAAUGCCAACCUAAAAGGCGCUCAGGCAAAGCAAAUUUACAGUAGAAGCACUCAUCUGUGUGAAUAUGAUUAUAGCAUCCUCUCACUUUCUGUGACAGUUUCACACUUUCAGCCUUUUUGUGAAAAACACUAUAUAAACUGUAAGUGCUUCCCUCUGUACACUUGUGUAAAUAAAAUUUAUGUCUGUGGCUGAACAUACAAGAUGACAUAAGACUAACAUCCAUAGAAGUAACAUGAAUUCAUCUUUUACUGCCACAUGACUCAAUCCUGCAAGGAGCUGGGAACUCAGAGGAGGAUCUGAGCAACCUCCUCCCAUAAAAAUCAACAGGGAUUUAAGGUGUUCAACAUCGGCAACGGAAGAAUCUUGGGCCGAGGGAGGAUUCUGUACGUUAGUGAAAAAGAACAAUCUGUGUCAACGGAAAGUACUUCACCAACUUUGUUGCAAAACAUGUACACAGAAGGGGUGAACUGGCACCUCUCAGAGUCCUCUUGCUCCUGUAGACUUCUAGAUUAAUCCAUAUUAUUAAAAAAAAAAAAAAAAAAAGCAAGCCACCUCUUUUUCUCUCUCUCUCCUCUUUGCCUGGAGAGAUGGUGAACUGUUUGUUGGAACUUAAAAGGAAAAACUACAACACGCCUACCUUUCAUAACUGGGUGUUUAGUGCUAAGCAUCCAGGAUCACAGAGUCAGUAUUGUGUGACCAAAGCAUUUGAUGCCAAAAUUAACAUUAAAGUAAUGAUUUGAUUUCCUGUCAACCUUUAGGAUUAUUCCUGUUUUUGAAGGUCCUUUAUUCUUCCCUAUUUUCUGCUCGUUUCCCCUUCAAGAUGUUUAAAGAGUGUUUCAAGAAUACAACACACGUUUACAUGGAUUAAAAAACAAAACAAAACAAAA